AGUGAACGCUGGCGGUAGGCCUAACACAUGCAAGUCGAACGGCAGCACAGUAAGAGCUUGCCCUUACGGGUGGCGAGUGGCGGACGGGUGAGGAAUACAUCGGCAUCUACUUUUUCGUGGGGGAUAACGUAGGGAAACUUACGCUAAUACCGCAUACGACCUACGGGUGAAAGCAGUGGAUCUUCGGACCUUUCGCGAUUGAAUGAGCCGAUGUCGGAUUAGCUAGUUGGCGGGGUAAAGGCCCACCAAGGCGACGAUCCGUAGCUGGUCUGAGAGGAUGAUCAGCCACACUGGAACUGAGACACGGUCCAGACUCCUACGGGAGGCAGCAGUGGGGAAUAUUGGGCAAUGGGCGAAAGCCUGAUCCAGCCAUACCGCGUGGGUGAAGAAGGCCUUCGGGUUGUAAAGCCCUUUUGUUGGGAAAGAAAAGCAGCGGGUUAAUACCCCGCUGUUCUGACGGUACCCAAAGAGUAAGCACCGGCUAACUUCGUG
rnacentral:rRNA from 1 species